AUAGGUCCCUAUGUGAGUAUAUUACUAUAUAUGAGAAUGAAUCUAAUCCGUAGGAUUAGAUACGAUCUAAUGGUUAGGAUUAAAUGAUGAAACAAUCAUCCAUCUUUCCUAAAUAAAAACCACGUUUCUUUCAUAAACCCCAACCACUUUCUCUCUCUAAACCUCCCUUUUCACUUUCUCCCUCUCGCGACUCCCUGUUCUCUCUCACCGUUUUCUCUCUCCUCUCGACAAAACCACCAUCGAAGCUCAAAGAACCGCUGAUCAACCUCCUUCAUCGCCGGUGUAUUGUUGAUUUAAGCAAAAAAAAAAAGCACGACAAACUAGCAAACAAUCCAGAGAAUCCACAAGACUGCUUGUGCACGCUAUUUCUUUUGCAGGGAGGGUUGUUGCGGGUCAGUCUGGGGUGGGCAGUGGUUCUGCUAUGUUUGGUUGCUGCUAGAAGUUUUGCGUGUGUGGUGUUAAUACAAGUGAUGGUCGUAAAUG